rnacentral:piRNA from 1 species
UGUAACAUAGCUGAGUGUACC